GUUCCCAAUGAUGCUUCUUUGUGAACCAUGCUAAUGCUGAUCAUUGUAUGACUGAGAUCACUCUCUCUACUUGCUGAGGGAACC